ACCCAAGGAGCUCGACUAAGAGCAAUAGAAUUUAAUCUGUGGGCAGUUUAAACUCUUGGGAU
rnacentral:tRNA from 1 species